UAUGAAGACCGUGACAACUGUACAGGGUUUGUACAACACAAAAUCACGUCAUUUUCUCAGGGAGGCCUCAAGUUGCUCUUGUGUUUUGAACGGCAGCCGUAUUGACUUCAUAAGGUGGUAGUAAGAAACUACUGCUCCCUCCACAAAUGUCUACGAACUCCAGAUCUUCUAUGAACUGGAAGAUUC